CUUAACUUCAUAGUUGGGCUAUAGACAGCAGGUGUCUCUUAAACGUAAGUGACAGUAGUCCGCCUGCCGAGGCCGGGGAAAAAGGCGCAGUGUUUUGGUUAUGCCUUUAACGACCUCCGGUACUAUUGCCGAGAGGUCGUUUUUGAUUAUCCAA
rfam:Anaerosporomusa subterraneum strain RT4 RT4_contig_18, whole genome shotgun sequence.